AGAGACACCUGACUCCCAGGGAUGUGAUCUGCAUAGCAAUGAUUUAGGGGAGAAGGGGGGAGUGCAUGGUGCAGACAAAGAGCCCAGUGAGAGCGAGAGCACAGAGGAGCUGGCUGGAGGUGCUGGAGUUACAGCAGGGAGAAUGGGGCCAGGCUCAGCUCAGGUCUUGGGGCCCAAUCCUGCUCCCAUUGAAGUCAACAGGCAGGGCCAGAAUUUGGCCCGUCAUCCAGGGUGGAAGAAGGAAGCAUGAAGAAGAAGGAAGCAGGACACUGGGCUUCCAUUCCCAGCUCUGCCCACUGCCUUGUUGUGUGAUGUGACGAAGUGGGACUGUUCUUAAUGUUUCCUCUGAAUAGUGUGGGGGUGCCUCAGUUUCCC